CAUGCAAGUCGAACGGAAAGGCCCUUCGGGGUACUCGAGUGGCGAACGGGUGAGUAACACGUGGGUGAUCUGCCCUGCACUUUGGGAUAAGCCUGGGAAACUGGGUCUAAUACCGAAUAGGACCACGGUCUGCAUGGAUUGUGGUGGAAAGCUUUUGCGGUGUGGGAUGGGCCCGCGGCCUAUCAGCUUGUUGGUGAGGUUACGGCUCACCAAGGCGACGACGGGUAGCCGGCCUGAGAGGGUGUCCGGCCACACUGGGACUGAGAUACGGCCCAGACUCCUACGGGAGGCAGCAGUGGGGAAUAUUGCACAAUGGGCGCAAGCCUGAUGCAGCGACGCCGCGUGAGGGAUGACGGCCUUCGGGUUGUAAACCUCUUUCGCCAGGGACGAAGCGCAAGUGACGGUACCUGGAGAAGAAGCACCGGCCAACUACGUGCCAGCAGCCGCGGUAAUACGUAGGGUGCGAGCGUUGUCCGGAAUUACUGGGCGUAAAGAGCUCGUAGGUGGUUUGUCGCGUUGUUCGUGAAAACUCACA
rnacentral:rRNA from 1 species